rnacentral:rRNA from 1 species
GACGAACGCUGGCGGCGUGCUUAAAACAUGCAAGUCGAACGGACUUCUCAUGAAGCUUGCGAUUGAGAAGUUAGUGGCGGACGGGUGAGUAACGCGUGGGCAACCUGCCCCUGAGCCCGGGAUAACAGUUCGAAAGGACUGCUAAGACCGGAUAUACUUGCGGGGAAGCAUUUCACUGCAAGGAAAGGGAACGCUCAGGGAUGGGCCCGCGUCCCAUUAGCUAGUUGGUGAGGUAACGGCCCACCAAGGCGACGAUGGGUAGCCGGCCUGAGAGGGUGAACGGCCACGACUGGGACUGAGACACGGCCCAGACUCCUACGGGAGGCAGCAGUUGGGAAUCUUCGGCAAUGGGCGCAAGCCUGACCGAGCAACGCCGCGUGAGUGAUGAAGGUUUUCGGAUUGUAAAGCUCUGUCUUCCGGGACGAUAAUGACGGUACCGGGGAGGAAGCCACGGCUAACUACGUGCCAGCAGCCGCGGUAAAAGUCAACGUCG